GCGGCGAACGGGUGAGUAACACGUGAGUAAUCUGCCCCUCACUUCGGGAUAAGCCUCGGAAACGGGGUCUAAUACCGGAUACGACACAGACCUGCAUGGGUUCUGUGUGGAAAGUUUUUCGGUGGGGGAUGUGCUCGCGGCCUAUCAGCUUGUUGGUGGGGUAAUGGCCUACCAAGGCUUCGACGGGUAGCCGGCCUGAGAGGGUGACCGGCCACACUGGGACUGAGACACGGCCCAGACUCCUACGGGAGGCAGCAGUGGGGAAUAUUGGACAAUGGGCGGAAGCCUGAUCCAGCAACGCCGCGUGAGGGAUGACUGCCUUCGGGUUGUAAACCUCUUUCAGUGGGGACGAAGCGCAAGUGACGGUACCCACAGAAGAAGCACCGGCCAACUACGUGCCAGCAGCCGCGGUAAUACGUAGGGUGCGAGCGUUGUCCGGAAUUAUUGGGCGUAAAGGGCUCGUAGGCGGUUUGUCGCGUCGGGAGUGAAAACACCGGGCUUAACUCGGUGCUGGCUUUCGAUACGGGCAGACUAGAGGUAUUCAGGGGAGAACGGAAUUCCUGGUGUAGCGGUGAAAU
rnacentral:rRNA from 2 species